GUUCUUCUUUACUAUUAACACAAUAUAGGAUGAGAUUGUUUUAAUUGUUUCGGGCUUCAGUAUAGUAAUUUCAAUUAUUGAUGUUUGAUAUGAGAUAUAUGCAUGUGAUACAUGGUAGAAUUGGUACUGUAAUUCGAAUUGCAUACUUUUGUUAUUGUGAGCAUGCUGUAGCGGUUAAGUUCUUGUAUAUAACUUGGUGCAAUUACUUGAUCACUAGCAUUACUCACUUUGUAUCAAAUAUCACUGUUCUUGUUUCAAGAUUGUGUUUACAUUUCUGCCUGAAUUCUUGAAAUUUUUCAAAACCAUUUUUUGCUCACUAGUUGAUCUUUAAUUCAAGAUUAAACUAUGUCCAUGAGUAUAGCCACCUUUUUAAAGAACCCGUGAUGGGUUCGAAGGUCGAAUUGUCUCAAUUCGAUGGAAAGGGGGAUUACUUUAUAUGGAAGCAGAGAAUGAGAGCUAUUCUGGUUCAACAGAGGGUCGCUAAGGCCCUUGAUGAUCUUGAAACUUUUUCUACCGAACUUAAGGCAAAAUCAAAUGAAAUUGAAGACAUGAAUGAAAUUGCUUAUAGUUCCAUAAUUUUACAUUUGUCUAAUAACAUAGUGAGACAAGUUGAUGAAUCCAAAACUAUUAGAGCCCUAUGGAUUGCACUUGAUGCUAUGUUCUUAACUAAAACACUACCAAAUAAAAUUUAUCUCUUGGAAAAGCUGUUUAGCUUUAGGAUGGACCCUGGGAAGGACUUAGAGGUAAAUUUGAGUGAAUUUAGUAUCAUAGGGAAAAGCCUUGCACGUAAUGAGAAGAAAUUUGAUGACGAAGACUUUGCUGUAAUUCUUCUAAACUCAUUACCAGAUUCAUAUAAAGAUGUUAGAAAUGCAAUAAAAUACUCAAGGGAUAAACUGACUCAAACUAUAGUCAUUGAUGCUUUAAGAUCUAGGGAUUUAGAAGUCAAAAAGGAAACAAAAUCUAAUCCUAGAGAAGAAAAUAUGUUUAUAAGAGGAAGAUCUGAAAAGAGAGAAUGUUUUUUCACAAAAAAGGGAAAUGAAUAUCUAAAAUCAAAUCUAAAUCUAGAGAUAAAAGCAACAAGAAGUGUUACAAUUGUGGAAAAAUGGAACGCUUCAAAAAGGACUGCUUCGAACUGACGAGUGUGUUUUACUCACGAGUUUAUGCAAAUUUUAACUUGAUUUUAAUCUAGAAUUCACGAGUAUAGAACGUUUUUAAUGUGUGUAUU
rnacentral:lncRNA from 1 species